CCUACGGGAGGCAGCAGUGAGGAAUAUUGGUCAAUGGGCGGGAGACUGAACCAGCCAAGUCGCGUGAGGGAUGAAGGUUCUGUGGAUCGUAAACCUCUUUUGUCAGGGAAUAAAGACUGGGACGUGUCCCGUGUUGUAUGUACCUGAUGAAUAAGGAUCGGCUAACUCCGUGCCAGCAGCCGCGGUAAUACGGAGGAUGCGAGCGUUAUCCGGAUUUAUUGGGUUUAAAGGGUGCGUAGGCGGCCUUUUAAGUCAGCGGUGAAAGUCUGGGGCUCAACCCUAGACUUGCCGUUGAAACUGGGAGGCUUGAGUAGGUGUGAGGUAUGCGGAAUGCGGGGUGGAGCGGUGAAAUGCUUAGAUAUCACGCAGAACCCCGAUUGCGAAGGCAGCAUGCCAAGCCAUCACUGACGCUGAUGCACGAAAGCGUGGGGAUCAAACAGGAUUAGAUACCCGGGUAGUC
rnacentral:rRNA from 1 species